GUGGGGAAUCUUAGACAAUGGGGGAAACCCUGAUCUAGCCAUGCCGCGUGAUCGAUGAAGGCCUUAGGGUUGUAAAGAUCUUUCAGGUGGGAAGAUAAUGACUGUACCACCAGAAGAAGCCCCGGCUAACUCCGUGCCAGCAGCCGCGGUAAUACGGAGGGGGCUAGCGUUGUUCGGAAUUACUGGGCGUAAAGCGCACGUAGGCGGAUUGGAAAGUUGGGGGUGAAAUCCCGGGGCUCAACCCCGGAACUGCCUUCAAAACUCCCAGUCUUGAGUUCGGGAGAGGUGAGUGGAAUUCCGAGUGUAGAGGUGAAAUUCGUAGAUAUUCGGAGGAACACCAGUGGCGAAGGCGGCUCACUGGCUCGAUACUGACGCUGAGGUGCGAAAGCGUGGGGAGCAAACAGGAUUAGAAACCCGGGUAGUCC
rnacentral:rRNA from 1 species